GGCCUUCGUGGUGUAGUGGCAGCACAUGCCCCCAGUAAGGGUGAAACGCGUGUUCAAUACCCGCCUUUGGCCG